AGAGUUUGAUCCUGGCUCAGGAUGAACGCUGGCGGCGUGCCUAAUACAUGCAAGUCGAACGAAACUUCUUUAUCACCGAGUGCUUGCACUCACCGAUAAAGAGUUGAGUGGCGAACGGGUGAGUAACACGUGGGCAACCUUCCCAAAAGAGGGGGAUAACACUUGGAAACAGGUGCUAAUACCGCAUAACCAUGGUUACCGCAUGGUAACUAUGUAAAAGGUGGCUAUGCUACCGCUUUUGGAUGGGCCCGCGGCGCAUUAGCUAGUUGGUGAGGUAAAGGCUUACCAAGGCAAUGAUGCGUAGCCGAACUGAGAGGUUGAUCGGCCACAUUGGGACUGAGACACGGCCCAAACUCCUACGGGAGGCAGCAGUAGGGAAUCUUCCACAAUGGGCGAAAGCCUGAUGGAGCAACGCCGCGUGGGUGAAGAAGGUCUUCGGAUCGUAAAACCCUGUUGUUAGAGAAGAAAGUGCGUGAGAGUAACUGUUCACGUUUCGACGGUAUCUAACCAGAAAGCCACGGCUAACUACGUGCCAGCAGCCGCGGUAAUACGUAGGUGGCAAGCGUUAUCCGGAAUUAUUGGGCGUAAAGAGGGAGCAGGCGGCAGCAAAGGUCUGUGGUGAAAGACUGAAGCUUAACUUCAGUAAGCCAUAGAAACCGGGCAGCUAGAGUGCAGGAGAGGAUCGUGGAAUUCCAUGUGUAGCGGUGAAAUGCGUAGAUAUAUGGAGGAACACCAGUGGCGAAGGCGACGAUCUGGCCUGCAACUGACGCUCAGUCCCGAAAGCGUGGGGAGCAAAUAGGAUUAGAUACCCUAGUAGUCCACGCCGUAAACGAUGAGUACUAAGUGUUGGAAGUCAAAUUUCAGUGCUGCAGUUAACGCAGUAAGUACUCCGCCUGAGUAGUACGUUCGCAAGAAUGAAACUCAAAGGAAUUGACGGGGGCCCGCACAAGCGGUGGAGCAUGUGGUUUAAUUCGAAGCAACGCGAAGAACCUUACCAGGUCUUGACAUACUCAUAAAGGAUCCAGAGAUGGAUAGAUAGUUAUAUGAGAUACAGGUGGUGCAUGGUUGUCGUCAGCUCGUGUCGUGAGAUGUUGGGUUAAGUCCCGCAACGAGCGCAACCCUUAUUGUUAGUUGCCAGCAUUAAGUUGGGCACUCUAGCAAGACUGCCGGUGACAAACCGGAGGAAGGUGGGGAUGACGUCAAAUCAUCAUGCCCCUUAUGACCUGGGCUACACACGUGCUACAAUGGACGGUACAACGAGUCGCAAGACCGCGAGGUUUAGCAAAUCUCUUAAAGCCGUUCUCAGUUCGGAUUGUAGGCUGCAACCCGCCUCCAUGAAGUUGGAAUCGCUAGUAAUCGCGGAUCAGCAUGCCGCGGUGAAUACGUUCCCGGGCCUUGCACUCACCGCCCGUCAA
rnacentral:rRNA from 1 species